GCACAAGCGGUGGAGCAUGUGGUUCAAUUCGACGCAACGCGAAGAACCUUACCUGGGCUCGAAGCGCAGUGGAAUCCGGUGGAAACAUCGGCGCCCGCAAGGGCCGCUGCGGAGGUGCUGCAUGGCUGUCGUCAGCUCGUGUCGUGAGAUGUUGGGUUAAGUCCCGCAACGAGCGCAACCCUUAUCCCUAGUUGCCAUCGGGUCAAGCCGGGCACUCUAGUGAAACCGCCCCGGAUAACGGGGAGGAAGGUGGGGAUGACGUCAAGUCCUCAUGGCCUUUAUGUCCAGGGCUACACACGUGCUACAAUGGUCGGUACAAACCGUCGCAAACCUGUGAAGGGGAGCUAAUCGGAAAAAGCCGGCCUCAGUUCGGAUUGGAGUCUGCAACUCGACUCCAUGAAGCUGGAUCGCUAGUAAUCGCAGAUCAGCACGCUGCGGUGAAUACGUUCCCGGGC
rnacentral:rRNA from 1 species